UUAGUUGGGCACUCUAAGGGGACUGGCGGUGACAAACCGGAGGAAGGGGGGGAUGACGUCAAAUCAUCAUGGCCCUUAUGACCUGGGCUACACACGUGCUACAAUGGACAGAACAAAGGGCUGCGAGACCGCAAGGGUUAGCCAAUCCCACAAAUCUGUUCUCAGUUCGGAUCGCAGUCUGCAACUCGACUGCGUGAAGCUGGAAUCGCUAGUAAUCGCGGAUCAGCAUGCCGCGGUGAAUACGUU
rnacentral:rRNA from 1 species